rnacentral:rRNA from 1 species
AGAGCGAACGCUGGCGGCAGGCUUAACACAUGCAAGUCGAGCGGGCGUAGCAAUACGUCAGCGGCAGACGGGUGAGUAACGCGUGGGAACAUACCUUUUGGUUCGGAACAACCCAGGGAAACUUGGGCUAAUACCGGAUAAGCCCUUACGGGGAAAGAUUUAUCGCCGAAAGAUUGGCCCGCGUCUGAUUAGCUAGUUGGUGAGGUAACGGCUCACCAAGGCGACGAUCAGUAGCUGGUCUGAGAGGAUGAUCAGCCACAUUGGGACUGAGACACGGCCCAAACUCCUACGGGAGGCAGCAGUGGGAAUAUUGGACAAUGGGCGCAAGCCUGAUCCAGCCAUGCCGCGUGAGUGAUGAAGGCCCUAGGGUUGUAAAGCUCUUUUGUGCGGGAAGAUAAUGACGGUACCGCAAGAAUAAGCCCCGGCUAACUUCGUGCCAGCAGCCGC